GGGUUUCCCUGCUAUGUUUUGUCACACAUCAUUGCUGGGAGAGUUCAGUGCUAUCCAAGUGACUCCCCCGGGAGAGGACAACUGGAAAUUUAUGCCUGGUGUCUUCCUGGACUCCGACCUAUGCACCUUUUUCCUUGGAUGAUUUUAACCUGUCUCCUUUUGCUGCAAUGAACCAUAACCAUGAGUAUAUCAGCUUUUCUAAUUUUUGUGAGUCCCUCAAGUGAAUUAUCAAACCUAAGGUAGUUUUGGGACCCCCAUCACAGAGAGUCAAACAGGGGCAGGGCAAGAAGAGCUGCUUUUCCUGGAAGGCUAAUGAGUCUGAACUUCGCCCUGGAGGUAAUCGUUAUAGUAACUCCAGGCUCUAACCUGGAGCUGACAUGAUAAGGUCAAAUGUACACCUCUAGAAGACUUCCGACUGCAGAGGGGAAUGGAUGGGGGAGCUGAGGGAGGAGAGCUGAAGCAGGAAGACCAUGGCCUGGAAAGAGAUGGCUGAACCAGUCCAGAAUCACAAGAAAGGCAUCAGCACCUUCUGUGAAAUGGGGAGCCAUGCAGAGGAGGUGCCCAGGUGGCGAGGAGUCCAUGUCAGCUGCCGUCAUCCACACCACAGAUCAGACAUGGCAAAGAGUGGCCAGGCCUUCUGAGUGAAGGUGAUCCAACCUGUCACCAAGCCUAAGGGCAAAUCCUGGCUGUGCUGUGAUGGCUCCAACAACCCCAAACAGCAGCGCAGAGGCUGCAGCCGCCCUCGGAGGCAACACUGGGAAACGCUCAUUAGCAGCCUUCCAUUGCUCACCCGCCCCAUCCCACCUCUGUGCAUCCCAGAUCAUCAGCGAAGUGCACAGCUGGCUUCCAUCCUCGGAGCCUUCCUCCUUCAUUUGCCUAUUCAACAGUUACAAAGGCCUGAGUUGCAAAGGGGCUUACAACCCAUUCCACCCAGAAGAAAGAGAACUGAGACUGAGCAAGACAGAGAAUAGGUGGAAGGGGAGAUGAAACCAAGCAAUCUCUAGAUCCCAAAUGGGGACCCUGAUGUAGCAAGAGCCUCUUUUAAAUCCUUUUCCAAUAGGGUAAUAUGGAAAAUAGUUGAAAGCACAAGCCAAGUGGGGCUGGAAUCCCAAAUGGGCCAUUUACUAGCUGUGUGACUGGACAAGUAAUUUCAUAUUUCUGGGCCUCGAUUUUUCUCAUCUGUAAAAUAGAAAAAAAAAAACCUAUGUCAUAACGUUGAUAAACAGAUUAGAUGAGCUAAGAUCUAAAAUGUCUUCUAUUCAGUAGGUGCUCAAUAAAUGUUAUCUAUUUUUAAAAAAAAAAAAAAAAAA
rnacentral:lncRNA from 1 species